rnacentral:tRNA from 2 species
GGUGGCGUGUCCGAGCGGCCUAAGGAGCACGCCUCGAAAGCGUGUGUGGGUGCAAGCCCACCGUGGGUUCAAAUCCCACCGCCACCG